GUAUGGUUAUUUUAGGGGGUCGGUGGAAGGCUGGUUAAACCGUUUGGUUUUCGACCACUACGACCCGGGUUCGAUUCCCGCAUUGGACA